GAUGAACGCUGGCGGCGUGCCUAAUACAUGCAAGUCGAGCGAACGGACGAGAAGCUUGCUUCUCUGAUGUUAGCGGCGGACGGGUGAGUAACACGUGGAUAACCUACCUAUAAGACUGGGAUAACUUCGGGAAACCGUAGCUAAUACCGGCUAAUAUUUUGAACCGCAUGGUUCAAAAGUGAAAGACGGUCUUGCUGUCACUUAUAGAUGGAUCCGCGCUGCAUUAGCUAGUUGGUAAGGUAACGGCCUACCAAGGCAACGAUGCAUAGCCGACCUGAGAGGGUGAGGGGCCACACUGGAACUGAGACACGGUACAGACUCCUACGGGAGGCAGCAGUGGGGAAUCUUCGACAAUGGGCGAAAGCCUGAGGGACCAACCCCGCGGGAGUGAAGAAGGCCUUCGGAUUGUAAAGCUCUUUUGUUGGGAAAGAAAAGAGGUGUAAGAACCUGCGCCCGUCUUGACGGUACCAAAACAGAAAGCACCGGCUAACUCCGUG
rnacentral:rRNA from 1 species